GACCAACCUGCCUUGGUGGUGGGGAGUAGCCGGGCUAACGCCCGGGUAAUACCGCAUACGGUCCCUUGGAGGAGUCUCUGGGGGAAGAAAGCUCUGGCGCACGAGGAGGGGGUCGCGGCCUAUCAGCUAGUUGGCGAGGUAAUGGCUCACCAAGGCGACGACGGGUAGCUGGUCUGAGAGGAUGGCCAGCCACAUUGGGACUGAGAAACGGCCCAG
rnacentral:rRNA from 1 species